rnacentral:rRNA from 1 species
GAUGCAAAACCGUGAGGUGGAGCAAAACUCAAAAACCGAUCCCAGUUCGGAUUGCAGGCUGCAACUCGCCUGCAUGAAGUCGGAAUUGCUAGUAAUCGUAGGUCAGCAUACUACGGUGAAUACGUUCCCGGGCCUUGUACACACCGCCCGUCAAACCAUGAGAGUUGGCAACACCCGAAGUCGGUAGUCUAACCGCAAGGAGGACGCCGCCGAAGGUGGGGUUGAUGAUUAGGGUUAAGUCGUAACAAGGUAGC